rnacentral:rRNA from 1 species
GAUGAACGCUGGCGGCGUGCUUAACACAUGCAAGUCGAACGAAACACCUUAUUUGAUUUUCUUCGGAACUGAAGAUUUGGUGAUUGAGUGGCGGACGGGUGAGUAACGCGUGGGUAACCUGCCCUGUACAGGGGGAUAACAGUCAGAAAUGACUGCUAAUACCGCAUAAGACCACAGCACCGCAUGGUGCAGGGGUAAAAACUCCGGUGGUACAGGAUGGACCCGCGUCUGAUUAGCUGGUUGGUGAGGUAACGGCUCACCAAGGCGACGAUCAGUAGCCGGCUUGAGAGAGUGAACGGCCACAUUGGGACUGAGACACGGCCCAAACUCCUACGGGAGGCAGCAGUGGGGAAUAUUGCACAAUGGGGGAAACCCUGAUGCAGCGACGCCGCGUGAGUGAAGAAGUAUCUCGGUAUGUAAAGCUCUAUCAGCAGGGAAGAAAAUGACGG